AUUGAACGCUGGCGGCAGGCCUAACACAUGCAAGUCGAACGAGUGGCGGACGGGUGAGUAAUGUCUGGGAAACUGCCUGAUGGAGGGGGAUAACUACUGGAAACGGUAGCUAAUACCGCAUACCAUCGGAUGUGCCCAGAUGGGAUUAGCUAGGAGGUGGGGUAAAGGCUCACCUACGCGACGAUCCCUAGCUGGUCCGAGAGGAUGACCGGCCACAGUGGAACUGCGACACGGUCCAGGUUCCUACGGAGGGAGCAAGUGGGGAAUAUUGCACAGUGGGGGCAAGCCUGAUGCAGCCAGGCCGCGUGGAUGAAGAAGUCCUUCGGGUGGUAAAGUACUUUCAGCGAGGAGGCGUUACCCGCAGAAGAAGCACCGGCUAACUACGUGCCAGCAGCCGCGGUAAUUC
rnacentral:rRNA from 1 species